UUGGAGCGGGUGUAAAUGAGCUACAUGAUGUUUGGAAAGCAUGUUAGCUCUAAUUUCAACCUGGCCCCACCACCUGAUUGGAUUACCUCAAAACUAGUAAUGUAUUGUAUGGUUUUGAGCUACAUCAUCAGAUAUUGUCUAAAUCUGAGUCCUGUAGCUGUCACAGUUGAUGAGCUUAUGCCUACUCCCCUAAAAUCCCUUCGUGGGAAAAAUGCAAUUAGAGUUGCAUUAGGUGCAUUAACUGGAGUGGUGUUGUUCAGCAAAGCCAUCUAUUUCUUUGAUUAUUCCUGCUGGCUGUUACAAAUCUAUCAUCACAGGAGAUAAUCUAUCAUGGCCACAGAAAACGACUGCAAAUGUUGCUAUCUUUCUUGGGGUGACGGGAGCAAUAUGUGCAUUCGUUAGCGAUGUUGAACCUGUUUUAAUUGCAAAAAGUUUAGUUGAGGUAUGUAUACAUGUUAGAUAAGCUUAAGAAGUGAUAGAAUAUUUGAUAAAUUCCCACCAGUAUAGUUUUCACUUUUCCAAAAACCAGUUUAUUUCUAUGUGUUAAGAGCAUCCUUCAGUCAAGGGAUUAUUGCUUCAAUAAACAAAUAAAGAACCAUAUUUUACAAAGUGAACUUGUUUCUGAAACUUACUCCUUACAGAUUAAUAACCCUAACUUACUGAGGUUGGAUUUUGAUUGCAGCAAAUGGUUACGAAUUGAAGGUGUUUUGGCUAUGUCUCGAGCUAUAGCUUAUAUCAUAAGUUGUAAUGGCGGUUUUAUAGUUGUUUUGCAGGGGUAACUGUUUCACUGUUUCGUAAAAAUGAAAAAGGUGAUCUCUUCUUAGCUAUUCUACUGAAACUCAAGGUAAUGGAAAUGUGAUAAUCUACAGAAACUCAAUUUAACAGAACUCUUAUGUGUAUGUGGGUUGUUCGUGUUUUUGUGCUUAUUAAACCUGUAUGUAAAAAACUUGGUAUUUUUUGGGGAUCAUCGUAGUAUGUUAUUAGGAGUGUGUUUUCUUUUACCAAUGUAAUGCACGACUAUUUUGUCUAAAAGAGCAUAUUGGAACCUUAUGUUAUAUGCUUUGUAGCCUUCAAUCUCCAUAGUUACUUGAUGAAUGACUUGGUUCUCUCAUGUCGUGCUUCUCGUGUGAACACGUCUAGUAUUGGAGUAUAAUUCUUAAAGUCAAUGUAAGCAAUAGCCU